GCAGUGCUCAUCCUGUUCCUCCUUGCACAAAGGAGCAGAUAGCGAUCCUCCUCAGGGUUUAAGGACCUUCUAUGGCCCUGUCCAGCUCUCCUGGAGUAACUACCUGUCUCCUGGAAUCUCCUCCAUGCUCUUGAGACUGUGCUGGGAGACACAGCAAACCUUCUUGCAACAGCACGUAUUGAUGUGCCAUCCUGGAGGAGUUGGACUACUUGUGCAACCUCUGUAGUAUCCAGGUACCGCACCAUGCUAUCAACAGAUGUUGAUCCAAGCCAAAUGAAAAACUACAGCAGUAGAAAGUCAGUCAGUAAAAAAUCAGCCAAAAGAGAUGAGGAGGGAAAAAAAGUAUCAGUGGCCUCAACCUGGAAAACCAUUCCUGUUUUGGGGGCUGUCUUAUUGUUGCCCUUCUGAUGCACCUGUUGAUUUCAUUAACAAAGCAGCUGAAACUGAUUUACAACCCCCUCUGCUACUUAACUGACCAGAUCAAUAUCCCAGAAGUUUGACUGAUAGGUUGCUAUACUCUGAUUAAAAAGUGUUCCUCUAAUUUUUUUGAGCAGUGUACUUUUAUCCAGUGUAAAAAGUGUUCU